AUUGAACGCUGGCGGCAGGCUUAACACAUGCAAGUCGAGCGGGGGAAGGUAGCUUGCUACCGGACCUAGCGGCGGACGGGUGAGUAAUGCUUAGGAAUCUGCCUAUUAGUGGGGGACAACAUCUCGGAAGGGAUGCUAAUACCGCAUACGUCCUACGGGAGAAAGCAGGGGAUCUUCGGACCCUGCGCUAAUAGAUGAGCCUAAGUCGGAUUAGCUAGUUGGUGGGGUAAAGGCCUAACAGGGCGACGAUCUGUAGCGGGUCUGAGAGGAUGAUCCGCCACACUGGGACUGAGACACGGCCCAGACUCCUACGGGAGGCAGCAGUGGGGAAUAUUGGACAAUGGGGGGAACCCUGAUCCAGCCAUGCCGCGUGUGUGAAGAAGGCCUUAUGGUUGUAAAGCACUUUAAGCGAGGAGGAGGCUACUCUAGUUAAUACCUAGGGAUAGUGGACGUUACUCGCAGAAUAAGCACCGGCUAACUCUGUGCCAGCAGCCGCAGUAA
rnacentral:rRNA from 1 species